UUCGCAUAUCAGAAUUGGCCCAUUUUUCAGCCUCACUUUCUCUCUCUUCGCGCAGCUCCUUGGAGGCGUUUCAGAAGCGAUAACUCCAUACACAAACUCUUCCACCAUCGAUCUGGCAGAUCUCCUCCUCCAGUUACCUCCUUCCAUUUUCGCCUCUCGGUUGUCUGUCUUCUCGCUGGUCGGAUCGAAGCCCUAACCUGUGAAAAUGUUUUCCCUCUUUCCAUCAAGCCUUUUGCAGUUGGCCAUCGGAGCAAACCCUAACCCCUAAAGAAGAAACCCGAAGUCUGGAAUCCUCCAUUAGAGAUGCGAAGGUAUGUUCGGCGAUUUGUAGACGACAGCUGCUGCUAGAGUUGGGCCAGAGGAGUUCAAUUUUUGAAGAGGAUGCCUACGAACAGCAUGGUUAAAACAUGAUCAUUACAAUGACUUUGAUGUGAAAAGGAUUGACAAAAACAAUUCAUGAAGGACAUGGCAGUAAGUUGUGGGCAGUGGCACCAGUGGGAUUUAGAGGAAGCAUUCUCCAGUUACUGCAACUCUAGGAAGCUAGUAAUCUCUAAGUUAAUCAAAUGGAAGCCUAUGCAAGUAUAAAGAAGUGUGUGUACAAUUUAUGGAAUGAAUUUUAGUGAUUUCCAGUUGUGUGUACAUUUUAUGCAAGUAUAAUGAAGUGUGUGCACACGUAUUAUUUUUAAGGAAUGUCUAGCUCCUUAUAUAUGCAAGUAUA